rnacentral:rRNA from 1 species
CCUACGGGGGGCAGCAGUGAGGAAUAUUGGUCAAUGGCCGAAAGCCUGAACCAGCCAUGCCGCGUGAAGGUCAGUGCCCUAUGGGCGUUAAACUUCUUUUGUGCGGGAACAAUAAUGGUCACGUGUGGCCAGACGAGAGUACCGUACGAAUAAGCAUCGGCUAACUCCGUGCCACCAGCCGCGGUAAGCCGGGGGAUGCAAGCGUUAUCCGGAUUUAUUGGGUUUAAAGGGUGCGGAGGCUGUGAGGUAAGUCAGCGGGGAAAUGCCCCCGCUCAACGGGGUGAAGUGCCAUUGAUACUGCCUUGCUGGAAUGCGGAUGCGGUGGGAGGAAUGUGUGGUGUAGCGGUGAAAUGCAUAGAUAUCACACAGAACACCGAUUGCGAAGGCAGCUCACGAAUCCGCGAUUGACGCUGAUGCACGAAAGCGUGGGUAUCAAACAGGAUUAGAUACCCUAGUAGUC